ensembl:lncRNA
UUUGUAUUUUUAAGUUCAUUUAUUUGUAAUAAAUAUUUUCUAAUAUAUUUUUAAAUAUACAUUUUAUUUAUUCAUUUUAAAUAUAUAUAUAUAUAUAUAUAUAUAUAUAUAUAUAUAUAUAUAUAUAUAAAUAAUAAAUACAGAUCCCCAGAUAAUAAGACUGUAAAAUGUCUAUAAGAACUUGGUGACUUAUUUUCAGGGUCUCUAAUUAUGUGGUUUAUUAAACAUGUUAUUUGUCUAAAUUUUUUGUUACACAGUUACGCCACCUUCCACCCAGAACAGAAACCAUCUGCUACCCCUGAACAGACCUGUUUCUUCUGAGAUCCAAAGCCUGCUGUCCAGCUAUUAUAAUGACAGUUACUGAAGAAUCGAUCAAGAAAUCUAAAGCAAGAAAAAAACUGUUCUCUGCACAGCUCAACACACCCCAGUGUAUCACAGCACACAUAAAUCCUUGCAAGCUUUAGUGUGCAACACUUUUUUGAGUUUUUCAUAUUUAUUUGCCAAAUCCAAAAUGCACACCCAAGUUUUUCAUAACCAAGUACCUUAUUGGCCUUAAACUGUGUUUGUCAUUAUCACAGAAAUAACCCCUAAUACAUGACUGUAAAUUAUUCCACUUUUUAGCUACUUAACAAAUAAAUAAAUUAAUAAUAAUAAAUAAAAUUUGAUAUUUGAUUUAAAAAUGUGAAAAUUAUGAGUGUUACAAGAGACAAAAACUAGCACACCUACGUAAGAACUUGGUUGCCAUGAACAACAGCUAAUUAUAAAGUUUAGCGUCAUUUAGUUCCAUUUAGCAUUCCAAAGAGCCAUUUAGUAAUUUCCCAGUAUACAGUUGUUAAAGGGAUACUCCACCCCAAAAUCAAAAUGUUGUCAUAAAUCACUUAUACCCAUGUCGUUCCAAUCUUCGGAACACAAUUUAAGAUAUUUUGGAUGAAAACAGGGAGGCCUGUGACUGUCCCAUAGAUUGCCAAGUAAGUUGCACUGUCAAGGUCCAGAAAAGUACGAAAGACAUUGUCAGAAUAGUCCAUCUGC